rnacentral:lncRNA from 1 species
CUUAUGCAACUGACUCCACUUGUGUAUAUCUACAUACAACUCAACAACAAAUGCAUAUGUACUUAUAUGACUCACCACCCUUUUAAUGCAACAUGUUCAUUCACUUGAUUCAAGUACUCUAACAUCUUCAAAAUUCAUAAAAUUAACCAAUCAAUUAACAUCGUGAUUUAAGUAGGAUUUGAUGCCUAUUCAAGGGUUAUACAAGCUAAGAGAAACACUUAGAAGUACUCAAAAGGGUCCCCUAGUGCACGAAGCAAGAUU